rnacentral:lncRNA from 1 species
AAGCUAGCAGGAUGUCAGAUGUUUUUAGCUUCGGAGUUGUAGCAUUGGAAAUAGCAUGUGGUCGAAAACCUAUUGACGUCAAGCUAGAAGAGAAUGAGAGAGAAUUAGUAAAGUGGGUUUGGGAGCUUUAUGGAAGGGAACAAAUUCUUGAAGCAGCUGACCCAAAACUCUCCGGGGAUUACGAUGAGUAUCAAAUGCAACAGUUGAUGAUUGUCGGGCUCUGGUGUGCACAUCCAGAUUGGACAAUCAGGCCUUCCAUUAAUCAAGUGAUCCAAAUUCUUAAUUUCAAUGCUCCAUUGCCUGCUCUGCCAACCAAGAUGCCUGUGGCAACCUAUUCCAUGCCGUCAAACUUGUCUUCUUUGUCUUUAGAAUACGUCACUGCCCAGAGAAACCAAACUCAAUCUUCAGGCUAUAGUAACGAUACUGAUUCUUCACUUUCUGCAUCUGCAGCACGUCUAAAUAAUGCUAGAUAAGUGUGUCAGUUUAUAUGCAAAUCAAUAUAUAUUAUGUGUGAUAUGAUCCAAGUUUGGAUAUAGUAUUUGUAAUUUGAUCCGUGAGUGAUUGUAAUUCAUUCAGUGAUGGCUUGAUAUUUCCCAGUUUGCAAUUUCUCUCUAUUCGAUAUUUAGUAUCUACAAUAUUGCAUCUGAUUAGUUGAAACUGUCAUUCGUUAGUUUAGGAUACAACCAAGACAAUUUCAUUAGUUAGAACCGGGGAAUAGUCCUCUUCUUUAAGCUUUCACUAAGAACUGCUAGCUUACUCUACAACCUAGACAAUUUUGUCCACUGUAAUUUUUUCAGAAAGAACUCCAUCUUCCUAUUAAUUGUCCUCUCGUGAUCAGCAGUAUGUAUCAAUAUGGAUUCAAGCAUAAGUAUUCAUCAAAUCUAACAGCCCUUUGCACGCCUCCAUCGCCUCAGGAACUUCAUCCGUAUAUUAGGUCAAAAAAUCUUUACAAUUUUUUUCCUCUGCAAUCACCAAUAUUCUAUAUAACAUAUAAACAAAACAUGCAGAACCGAACACCAUGGGAUAGUCCUCUAUUCAAGCUAUAGUCAAGAACAUCUGAGCAAUUAGACAACCUAAAGAGCUACAAGAACUUGGCAUACUCGACAUACAAGAUAGAUUAGACUGUCUUAAACAAAAACUACAUCAUCCCAUUAAUUAUCUUCCUGGCAUUUCUGCUGAGUCAGUGAUAUGACUGAUGCCCAAUUAAUAAUUGAUGGCUAGAAAUUUAACAGCACCCUUCUGUUUGAAAGUGUAUUCAUCAAAUUUCAGCUUCCCUUGGUAUGCCUCCAUUACCUCGGGUAGUUCAUCCUUAUAUACACUUACAAAGUCUCUGACAAAUUUUCUCUCAUCUAUCGACAAAAUUGUUGAUAGAUUGUAACUCUUACUAGUGCUGCUUAUUGAGACUAAAACUUGCAGAACUGAACACCUUGGGAUAGUCCUCUUCUCUAAGCUAUAGCAUAGAACUUUUGGGUUACAUGACAACCUAGAUGGUGUCCACUGUAAUUUCUUCAGAAAGAACUCCACCUUUUUAUUAAUAUGAUUCUCCUUAUAACACAUAAUCAGUGGUGCUUUCUUGAACACUUCAAGGACCUCAUCAUUAGAGAAACCAAAGCUUCUAAGCAACAAACAUCUAGAUUCCCAUGUGGAGUCAUUGUGAAAAGACAAUGCAUGGAGAGCAUGGAUGAAAUGUGAAGAUGAAUAAUCAAAGUUCAUGCCCUCGACCAUCAAAAAGACUUGACAGAAUCUGUCAUGUGGAUAGCACAAAAUUCGGGAAUAAUGGCUUACAAACUUGAAAAUUUGAGAAAUGGGAAUUCCUUGUCUAAGGAGAAACCGAAUAUUAGGCAACAUUGCGGCGGUGUUGGUAAAAAUAAAAGGACCGCAUUUAAGGAGAGCAACUGCAUUUGGGCCGCAACCAAUAAUAUCCUUAAGCUGAUCAAAAGUGGGUAUUAAAUGUUUGUUGAGACUUCUAGCGAGUAUUCGCGGGUCUCUGGUGACAGUACGGACCACCAUUGCAUGAGACAUAUCCAUAGAAAGCAAAAAAUCGAGCUUUGGCUUUAAGAGCUUUUCGGGUUUUAAGGACUGAAGAAUACAGGGUACAACAGAAACGAUUCUGGUAAUAUUAGGCUGGGGGAAUCCAAAGUUUCGGAAUAGCUCGAGAACCGAAUCGGGUCUGUGAUCAGAAGAAUCAAAAUGAACACAUUUAGAAGCACGAAUUAGGUGUUUUCCAGAUAAGCCACAUUUGUUCUUGAGAAAGGAAAUCUUGAAUUCUGAAGAAUCUAUGGUUCUUUUGGGGCUAUAGCUACGAAAGAUGGGUCGAAUUAAACAGUGAUUCAAAUUGGGGAGAGUUUGAUGUUUGAUAAUUAGGGUUUGCAAAUGAGAUUUGAACAUACAAACAAGCAUCUUCAUAGUAAAUAUAAACUAAAGAGAUGCAAUAGAGAGUGGAUUAGGACACAAACAAAUGGGAACUUACAGAGGUUGGAUUCAGCUCUCCGAUAGCAUUAGUUCGUGAAUCGUGAUUGUAUUUGUGGGUGCUGUUUGAACGGGGCAUAUUUUUUUUUUUUAUUUUGGCUAAUUGAUUGAUUGCCCGCCAUUUGUUGGACUUAUUUGGGAAACGAAUUCAUAUUUAUAUAAUUUUAUAGUAUAUAUUUUUGUCAUUUAAAAUAUUAUAAAAUAAUAGAUAGAUUCCUGAAAUAUAGAUAAUCGAUUUUUAAUCCAACAAUGUUUCUCGUAUUGAUUCUUUAUAUUUUAAUACUAAUAGUAUUUAGUUAGUGUUAAAUUUAUAUGAAUAUAUUAAUAUUUCUGUUGGAAUGACUAUAUUGAAAUGAUGAUAUUCAUCAUCCCUAAAAAUAACAUUCAUUUUUACAUUUCGAUUAAUUAUUUCAGUUUUGAAUUUUUCCAGUAAUUUAUAAAUUUGUUUUUUUUAUUAAUGUCAUUGUGUUUCGCUCCACUCUUAUUAUCCCUUAUUUGAUCGUAUUUUUAUAUUAAAUUUUAAAAUAAGAUAAAUAUAACUAGGAGCGUAAAUGAAUCAAACUGUUCGUGAGCUAUUCGAGCACGACUCGUGUAAUUAGAAUUCGAUUCGGUAAUAAUCGAGUUGAACUCGAGUUAUAUGAAUGUUUUGCUGAGCCGAACUCGAGCUACGAAUUACUCGGCUUGUAAGGUUCGCGAGUCUUACCGAGACUCUAUUAUUUUUUUUAUUAUAAAUUAUUUUUAUAAAAAAAAUAUAAUAUUUAAUUUAUAUUUUAUAUAUUCAACCGAAUCGAACUCGAGUCGAGCUGAUCAUAUUUCGAGUUUCCGGCAAUAUUUGGUGACUUGAUUCGAACUUUCGAGCCAAACUCGAUCUAUCAAACUAUUUACGAGCCGAGUUUCGAGCUUGAAAUUAAAGACUCGAUCGAAUUCGAGUUCGAACUCCGAAUUUUUUAACACCUCGAGACAUGCCAAAUAGUAUUUGACUCGGCUCGGCUCGAUACACCUGAAUACAACUAACUCGGUUUGUAUUACUAUUGAAUUCGAAAAUGGCAAAUGCCGGAGAUGUGAAUCGGUCAUUUGAAGAAUGAUGGGAUGAAUUGGCAAAAAAAGUAAUUUUGAUUCCCAACAUGCAAGGAUUUCAAUUUCUAUCGCCUAAAAAGGAUUUUUGGAGCAAAAUUCCUAAAAAUUGCCACAAUGACAUAGAUGAGACACAGGUGAGGAGGGAUGUGUCUUGGAGAAGCUCCAAGAAUCUGGUCUCAAUUGAUUCUUACACUAUAUUCCAUCCGUCCCGCAGAUUUUUUAAGUUCACUAUUUAAACGCAUUUUGAUACUCAUAUAAAGUAUAAUUUAUAAUGUUUUUUAGUUUAUCUUUUUUGACUAAAAAUUCAAACGUCAAAUUUUUAUUCAUAAGAAAAAAUUAAAAAAGAUAUUAUGAAACUAUAUUUUAUUGAGUUAUCAAUAUACAUGCUAAAAAGUAAUGUAAAAAUCUGUUGGGACUGAGAAAGCAUGUUUCAUGAAAGAUUAACCGGGGGAAUUCUCCUACAAACCAUACUAUCAGUAGUAUCGUCUGGCUGUCCAUGGCGGAGACAUAAAAUCAGCUCAUGUGGGAAUGUGAAUUAGCUAGAUGAGCUAACUGGAGUAUAUCAGAAGAUUCAAAUUCUGGAAAGAAAAGAAGGGAAGUCCGAUGGCGCAAUCAAGUAGGGGAAUGAUUUGUGUUACAAAGGUAGAAGAAACCAGGUCUCUGGUGUACAUGUUCACCAACCCAGCUCAUGUUGGAAACAUUUUAGACAAGACAAAGUCGAAAAUCUAAUUAAUUAUCAAUAUCAAUUUCACACUAAACUUAUAUUUUGAUUUUUCAACUAUUCCAAACAGUAACGGAAAAGAGAAUAUCCUAUCUUAUCACACUUUCAAUAAAAAAAACAGUAUCUUUUCAUAGGAAGCCGUUAAGACUUAAGAUUGUGAAGGAAGGGCUCACCCACUCCCUCCCUGUCACUUUUUUAUAUUUUUUUUCUUACUCGACACGCAUUUUAAGACGCAUAUAGUUUCAUAAUUUUAAAUUUUUUUAUAAGAAUUUAAAUACUAAAUAUUUAUUCAGAGAAAAAAAUUUCAAAAUAACUUAUCAAAUUAUAUUUUAUGAGAGCAUUAAAAUACGUCCGAGUCUUGUCUCCAAUAUAAACAAUUGAUGGGAAGAGGGAGCAGGGUUCUGGAAAAACAGUAAUUAACGUGGACGUAACGGUGAUCAAUGGGCUUGUAGUCAGAUACUCUUCUUAUCCGAGCAGGUUUUUUAUGUUUAUUUUUGACACAUAUUUAGAGAAUAUUAUAAAAUACAAUUACGUAAUAUAUUUUUUUAAAUAUUUUUUUAAAUAAUAGUUUGAUGUUUAAAUUUUAUUUAAUAAAAUAAUAUUAAAAAAUAUUAUAUAACUAUACUUUAUAGAAGAUUUAACGAUGGUUCAUUCAUCUGACGGUAAACUAGAAAACUCCCAAUAAAGUUAAAAACACUUCGAGCACAAAUAAUUGUCUGCAACAGGUUGGCUUUACCCUCUAAGCUAAUGACGUCUAGCCGUCUAUGGUGAUUAAUAUACUAAUGACGUCUAUGAUGAUUAAUAAAACUCACCCACCCUUGAAAUUAUCGAAUAACUAAUAAACGACCAGUAGUCCUGAAGACAACGUUCCACAGACGUUUUGUGGUAACAUACAUUCCGAUCAUUACAUCAGAUCCAAGAUCAGCUACAUUACGCAUUUUAUAAAAUCAAUUCGAGCAUGGUUCGCAGACAUCUCCUAGCAGGAUGCUCUGUUGUCAUUACAUCUCUGAUACUGCUGAGUAUGAUCCACUUUGCUGCAACUUUAAAUUUUAGCUAUAUUAGCUUCACUCCUGAUGAUCCUGAGAUAGAACAUGAUGGAGAUGCCUUCACAUCCAGCAGAGACAUCCACAUUACUAAAAGCUUGAAUCGACAAUCAGCUCUUUCAAGCAUUGGACGAGUUACUUAUAAACAGCCAUUGCAUCUAUGGGACAAGGCCUCAGGAAACCUUACCGACUUCGCUACCCGUUUCACUUUUGUGAUUGAUUCGGAGAAGAGGGCCAAGUAUGGUGAUGGGAUCGCAUUCUUUCUGGUCCCGAAUGGGACUAAGAACCCGUUAGAGGGUGCAGGAGGUGUAGGAUUAGGACUUACGAAUGAUAGCCAGCCUGUGAACGCCUCUGCUAAUAAUAAAUUUGUUGCUGUUGAAUUUGAUAUUUAUAGCAACUAUUGUGACCCGGAGAAUAUGAGUGAGCACGCAGGUGUUGAUAUCAACUCUAUGAUAUCUGUGGCGGUUGUGCCUUGGGUUAAUGGGAGCGAUAGUAUUAAGAAUGGGUGGACUAAUGAAGCUCGGAUAAGUUAUGCUUCUAGUUCCAAGAAUCUUAGUGUUUCAUUCCGUACAGGCUUAGAUGGCGAUGGUAGUGUUUCACAACAAAGUUUCAACUUUGUGGUUGAUCUAAGAGAUCAUUUGCCAGAUUGGGUCAGUGUUGGCUUUUCAGCUGCAACAGGAAAGUCAUUGUCUUACAAUAGAAUCAGGUCAUGGGAAUUCAAUUCCAGUCUGGAGUCUGAUGAAGAUAAAGCAGGUCCAACUCAUCCUGUAACAAACGUUCCGAGUCAAAGUGAUCCGGCAGCAGAGGGUCCAGCAGAGGGUGUAAUAUUGUCUAAUAAAAAGAAUAAGAAGAUGGGUCUGGUGGUUGGAUUGGCGGUAGGGGGGUUUGUUCUAGUUUGUGCUGCGGGCAUAUACCUUAUCUUGAAGAAGAAAAAGAGAGAAGAGAUUGAAAAUACUAUUCAGGUUGAGGAUGAUUUCAUGGAUGGUGAAUUUGAGAAAGGAAUUGGACCCAAAAAGUUUUCAUAUAGUGCUCUUGCUAUGGCAACAAGUAACUUUGCACAAAAUGAAAAACUUGGAGAAGGAGGUUUUGGGGAAGUCUACAAAGGCUUCUUGAGAGAAAUGAAUUUAGAUGUGGCUGUCAAGAGAGUGUCAAGAAAUUCUAGUCAGGGAAUAAAGGAGUAUGCAUCCGAAGUGAGGAUCAUUAGUCGUCUCAGACAUAAAAAUUUGGUGCAGCUCAUUGGUUGGUGCCAUGAACAGAAUAAUCUUUUACUUGUUUAUGAGUAUAUGCAAAAUGGUAGCCUGGAUUCCCAUCUUUUCAAGGGGAAGAGCUUACUUUCUUGGAGUACAAGGUAUAAAAUUGCUCAAGGCCUGGCGUCAGUAUUGCUUUAUCUACAUGAAGAAUGGGAGCGAUAUGUGGUGCAUAGAGAUAUUAAAUCAAGCAAUGUAAUGUUAGAUUCGAGUUUUAAUACUAAGCUAGGUGAUUUCGGAUUGGCCAGAUUUGUUGAUCAUGACAAGGGCGCACAAACAACUAUUGUGGCUGGGACACGAGGCUAUAUGGCCCCCGAAUGUUUCGUCACAGGACAAGCUAGCAGGGAGUCAGACGUUUUCAGCUUCGGAGUUGUAGCAUUGGAAAUAGCAUGUGGUCGAAAACCUAUUGACCUCAUGGUGGUAGAAAAUGAGAGAGAAUUGGUAAAGUGGGUUUGGGACCUCUAUGGAAUGGAACAAAUUCUUGAAGCAGCUGACCCAAGACUCUCAGGGGCUUACGACGAGCAUCAAAUGCAACGGUUGAUGAUUGUCGGGCUUUGGUGUGCACAUCCAGAUAGUACCACUAGGCCUUCCAUCAGGCAAGCAAUUCAUGUUCUUAAUUUUGAUGCUCCAUUGCCUUCACUCCCACGCAGGAUGCCUGUGGCAACCUAUUCCACGCCUUUAAACUUUUCUUCGGUGUCUUCAGAAAGCAAGGCCACUACCCAGACAAGCCAAACUCAUUCUUCAGCCUAUAGUAACGGUACUGAUUCUUCAGUGUCUGCAUCUGCAGCACUUCUAAACAAUACUAUAUAAGUGUGAUAAUUAACAUGUAAAAUAAAAAAAAAAUAUUUCCAAUUUAUAUAUGAGUAAAUAAGAGUGAUUAUGUUUACAGCAUUCACUUCUGAUUUGAUUCAUUCUGUAAUUGCUUGACAUAUUCGAAUUUUCAAUCUUCUUCACUAAUUGUCUUUCAUAGUUAUCACAUCAGUUAACAUUUCUAAUUUGGGCACUUGGCUUCAAUUAGUAGUGGUCCUGCUCAGUGCUUCUAAAUUCAAAUGCUGAUUAAUUCUCUGAAAGUAGUUCAACUAGAGGUUUAUAGUAAACUCUGUGGAUUACUUUAAUCUGUACCAUACUAAUAUUCCUUCCGCCGGCAAGAUAUUGGGAUAAAUUUUAUUGCACAAGUCACUGUCUACAGUCUUUAAGCAUUACCUGUCUGCAAUGAUCAAGACAAGUCUAUAUCGUCAACUAUCUUUUUUCAAUAAAUUUCAAAGUAUGUCCGAUAUGAGCUGAAUGAUUCAACUAAGAUUUUGUUUGAAACAUAACCCCAAGACCAAUUUGAAAGAUAUGAAACUGACUUGCAACAGCAGAGCCUGAAGCACCAAGGAAGAACUGAAGUAUAGCUUGUUACUAACAUCCAUAAGGCCAACUGCUGAUGCUCAAGGGUGAGUGUGAGGGUGGUUUGUGCCAGCAGAAAGCCAGCAUUUGGAACACUGACCAGUGAUUAAAAUAUUUCCGACUCCAAAUUUUCUGGUAAUUAUCAAAUUGUUUCUUUUGUUCAAGUUCAAAAAUCUAAUUAAAUUUAAAUACAAAAAGAGAAUAUAAAUAUACAGUAAUAAUUCUAAAGUUUAGAUUUUUAACUUGAGGAAAGUGUCCAAAUAUUUUAGGAAGCUACUGAGUACAUAAUAUAAUAUAAAUUAAUAUAUAAAAAUAAAUUCUUCAAAUUACGGUCUCCUAACAUUUUGAUUACAAAAAAACCUCCACAUACUUAGAAGCAUCAUGCCCUUUUAACUUAUACUCCUUAGAAAGUAGUUUGAACACGACAAAGAGAAAAUUAAAAAAUAAAAGUAGUUUGAAAAUUCACUUAAUGCACAAUUCAAUAAGCUAUAUAAAGUUAAAAGUAAAUUACCAAGAAAAAUAAUUUCCUCCUUAAAAUUAUUAUUAUAAAAGUUAAGGUUUCUAGUACAUGGGCCUAUUUGACGUAUUGAAUGGUUAAUAAAGUUUGAAAGACUUGGAUAACUGGAAGAUAAAUUUGCAUCCAAAUUUCACAAGAUGAAUUCAAGCAUGGUUUGCAGCCAUCUCAUGCCAGGAAGCUCUGCUAUCUCCUCUAUUGUCAUUAGAUCUCUGAUAUUUCUAAGUACGAUUCAGAUGGCAGCAACCUUACAUUUUAAGUUUACCAACUUCAACCAUACCAAUGAUGAUCAAAUAAAAUACGAGAGAGAUGCCUUUCCGGCCAACAAUGUCAUCCACCUCACUAAUGCGGUGAUUGGUCAAUCAGCUGAGUCAAGUAUCGGCCGAGUUACUUAUAGACAGCCUUUGCAUCUAUGGGACAAGGCCUCAAGAAACCUUACUGGCUUCACUACCCGUUUCACUUUUGUGAUUGAUUCCAGAAAUGAUACAGCGUAUGGCGAUGGGAUGGCGUUCUUUCUAGUUCCAAAUGGUACCGAGGUCCCGGCACUUGCAACAUCUGGGGGAACAUUUGGACUCACAAAUGAUAGUCAGCCUACCAACACCACCGCCAAUAAAUUUGUCGCUGUUGAAUUUGACGUGUUUGAGAACUCUUGGGACCCUGACAUUGACGAGCCGGAGGACCCUCUUUUUGGCCGUUCUCCUGAUGUGAAAAUUGAGCAUGUAGGUGUUGAUAUCAACUCUGUGAGAUCCAACAAAACUGUGCUUUGGGAUUAUGGGAGGUCUAGUGUUGAGAAUGGAUGGACCAAUGAAGCUCAGAUAAGUUAUGCUUCUAGUUCAAAAAAUCUUAGUGUUUCAUUCCGUACAAAUAUAACUGGCAAUUUCUACUUUGUGGUUGAUCUACGAGACCAUUUGCCAGAUUGGGUCAGUGUUGGCUUUUCAGCUUCAACAGGAGCCGCAAUUUCUUACAAUACAAUCAAUUCAUGGGAAUUCAGUUCUACUCUGGAGUCCCAUGCAGAAGCUCCGAGUCCAAGUCAUCGUGGUCCAGUACCACAGGUUCCAAAACAUAUUAAAACAAAUAAUAAAAGGAUGGGUCUAGUGAUUGGAUUGGCGGUAGGGGGGUUUGUUCUUGUUUGUGCUGCGGGUAUAUACAUUAUAUUGAAGAAGAAGAAGAAAGAAAGAGCAGAAAAUGAAAAUACCAAUUGUUUUGAGGAUGAUUUCAUGGAUGAUGACUUUGAGAAAGGAACUGGACCUAAAAAGUUCUCGUAUAAUGCUCUUGCUAUGGCAACAAGCAACUUUGCACCACAUGGAAAACUUGGAGAAGGAGGAUUUGGGGAAGUUUACAAAGGCUACUUGAGUGAACUGAAUUUGGAUGUGGCUGUCAAGAGAGUAUCAAGAAAUUCUAGACAAGGAAUAAAGGAGUAUGCAUCCGAAGUGAGGAUCAUUAGUCGUCUCAGACAUAAAAAUUUGGUGCAGCUCAUUGGUUGGUGCCAUGAACGGAAUAAUCUUUUACUUGUCUAUGAGUAUAUGCAAAAUGGUAGCCUGGAUUCCCAUCUUUUCAAGGGGAAGAGCUUGCUGUCUUGGAGUACAAGGUAUAAAAUGCGUCAGUAUUGCUUUAUCUACACGAAGAAUGGGAGCAAUGUGUGGUGCAUAGAGACAUUAAAUCAAGCAAUGUCAUGUUAGAUUCAAGUUUCAACACUAAGCUAGGUGAUUUCGGACUGGCCAGAUUUGUUGAUCAUGAAAGGGGUGCACAAACAACUAUGGUGGCCGGGACACGAGGCUACAUGGCCCCCGAAUGUUUUUUCACAGGCCAAGCUAGCAGGAUGUCGGAUGUUUUCAGCUUCGGAGUUGUAGCAUUAGAAAUAGCAUGUGGUCGAAAACCUAUUGACCUCAAGCUAGAAGAAAGUCGGGUAGAAUUAGUAAAGUGGGUUUGGGAGCUUCAUGGAAGGGAACAAAUUCUUGAAGCAGCAGACCCAAAACUCUCCGGGGAUUACGACGAGAGUCAAAGGAAACGGUUGAUGAUGGUCGGGCUCUGGUGUGCCCAUCCAGAUUGGCCAAUUAGGCCUUCCAUUAAGGAGGCGAUUCAAGUUCUUAAUUUUGAUGCUCCAUUGCCUGUUCUCCCGCCCCAGAUGCCAGUGGCAACCUAUUCCAUACCAUCAAAUUUGUCUUUAGAAGACAAGGCCACAACCCAGAGAAGCCAAACUCAUUCUUCAGGCUCUAGUAACGGAACUGAUUCAUCAGUGUCCGCAACUGCAGCACGUCUAAAUAAUACUAGAUAACCAUGUUGUUUAAUAUGCAGCUGAAUACAUUUUUUUGAAGAUAAGCGUGUCGGUUGAUAUGCAACUCAAUAUUUAUUAUGUGUGAUUUUAUAAUUUGAUUCAGUUUGAUUGUAAUUCUGAGGAUUAACAUGUCGGUUGAUAUGCAACUCAAUACUUACUAUGUGUGAUUUUGUAAUUUGAUUUUAGUUUCAUUGUAACUCAUUCAGUGAUUUGCAAAGUCAUGGUCUACGGUCAUUAGCAUUACCUCUCGGCAAUGAUCAAUAGAAGUCUACGUCGACUAUCCUUUUUUAUAAAUUUCAAAUAAUGUUCGAUAUGAGCUAUCAAACGUUAGUUUUAGUCAUAAAAGAGUGUAUCAUGAAUUACAAGUAAACAAUCAUUUACUUUUAGAUCUAGAACCAUAAAGUAGGAGCGUUUGGCAAAUAAAAUUAAGUCCUUAUUAAAGAUUUGUUUCUUUUAAAAUGCUUAUUUUAUAAAUUUUUUAAAUAUAAAUAUUAGGUAGGUGUUGCAUAUUCAUUAUGCGACAAAAAAAAAGGACUAAUUUCAGGAAAAAAAUUAAGCUAUUAUUUCAGAAAAAUGAGUGUAGUCAAAGGAGAACACGGUAACCCACUCUUUUUCUUUUCCAUUUUCUGUUUUGUUUUACCCACGGCUGUAAAUUGAUUAUGGUGAAACUGGAUUAAAAAUACAAUCCGAGUUCGAAUCGAAUAUGAACAAUCGAUCAUAUUUUGGGUAUUUGGGUAGGAUAAUAUUAGAAAAAAUUAUAUGUGAUCUAAUUUGAUCAGCAGUAUAAGAUUGCUCAUAUCCGGCAUCAUAUAUUAUCCAGGCUUAAUUUUUCCAACAGAUUUCGAUCGUUUUCAAAACGGAUAUGAGACAUGUAUCAUAUUUUCGAGCCGGAUAGCCGAGAUACCGAAUAGUCUGUAUCGACUAACAUCGCUAGUUUUAUCCUGUUAACGUUCUUUUUUUACUGAACACAAUUUUACAAAAUAUAAUAAUUUUAAAUUAAAACUUACAAUUAUAUGUAGGUAUAUAUAAUUAAGUAAAUAUAUAUAUGAAGAUAAUAAGUAUUAUCACAGUAAAUAAAUCAUAUUUUGUGAGAUUUACACUUAAAUAAGAUAUUAAAAUUUUAUAAAAUGAUGAAUAUUACUUACAUAUGUAAUAAAUUAAAAAUAUAAUUUGCAUAUUAGUUCCAAUCGAAUAUGAACCAUCGAUCAUAUUCGGAUAUUUGGGUAGGAUCAUAUUAGAAAAAAUUUUAUGUGCCCAGGAUUGCUCAUAUUCGGGAUCAUAUAUCAUUUAAUUAUAUUAUUAUAGACUUGUUAAAUAAGAUAUAUAAAUUUAUGUAAAUAAUUUUUGCAGCCUAAACAUAUGUAUAACUUAUAAUUAAAAAAUAUUAAAUUUGUUACAUUAUUAUCAAAUUUUGUUACUGGCAAGAAACCUCCAGGAAGUGUGGUGUGUAGGUACUUCUUUGUGUUUCAUUACUUUAUCAAAUGGGCAAGUCAGAAUAAUCAGAAAAAGUUUAAUCCGCAGGACCACUGCUUCCACUAUAAAUUUAUAAUCAUUAUAGUUGUUUUCUCAAUUCUCAUUGAAGAAUGAUGUUGCCGAUCUAGACUUGUCAGCUCUGCUUAUUCUUCCAAUUUUAUGAACAUAAUCAUCGAGGUCUUUUGGCAAAUUAAAGUUGAUGACACAGGUGACAUAGGCAACAUCCAGACCUUUUAGCUUCGGAGUUGUAGCAUUGGAAAUAUAUUAACUCCGAAUACAGGGGGUGUUUGGCCAGGUUUAAAAGCCCGACUUCUCGGUUUAUAAGUUAGAAACACGUAUUUUUACUGUUUGUGUAAAAAGUAAAGAAGUAUUUAUAAAAAGGAGAGAAUACUAGUCUUUGUUCAUAGUUUUUGCGUCUUUCCCAAAUACUUUAAGCUUCUAAUUUUUAAUUCACUUCUUUAUUCUAAGCAAGAAGCGCUUAUUUUAAGCUCAAUCAAACAGCGUCAUAGUAUUUGUAAUUUGAUCCGUGUGUGAUUGUAAUUUAUUCAGUGAUGGCUUAACAUUUCCCGGUUUGCAAUUUUUCUCUAUUCAAAAUUCAAUAUCUACAAUUUUGUAUCUGAUCAGUUGAAGCUGUCAAUCGUUAGUUUAGGAUACAUAUUCAUCCUUACUAUGCCUCCUCAAGAACGACGUUGUUUUAACAAUGACCAUCCUGGAAAACAGAGAUUGAAAAGCAGCUCUUGGAAGUAGUUUUGUGAGGGAAUCAGUAACUUAUUCAGAAGUCUGUUUUUGCUAGAAUUUUCAUAAAUUAUGCAGAACUGUGUUGUACCGCUUUUUGUUUCUUUUUUCUAGGAAUUGCAAUUGGAAUUUGGAGUGCUUAGGUUCUGGUCGUUUAGAUCACUACUGACAUGUCACUGGAAAUUACUCAGGGGACAUUUAGAGAAUCAGGUAGACGAGAAUGUGAAAGAUAUGAUAUUCUAAGAUGUGAAAUGAAUGAAUUAUCCACCUCUAAUGUUAUAUAACACAAAUACUAAUCCAAACAAAUGCUCAGGGAUGUGAAAUGAAUGAAUUAUCCUUUGAUUUUGACGUUUCCAUGGUGGUGGUGUGUCAGGGUUAAUACCUUGGCAUACACCGGCUCUGAUACCAGGUGUGGAAACUAUUGAUUGUGUAUCAACUGCGUAAGUUUAGGAGAAAAAGAAAAAACUGAAGAGACAAACCCUGGCUUUUUACUUAUUACUUAAUACUUCAACUUACAUGCGACGUACAUAUAUAAAGACCGAAAAAUACUGCUAGAGCUCCUAAACACCAGCGCGCUUACACCAGCUUUUAAUACUCACACUACUCCAUGUUCCCUGCCGAUGAUUUUACACUGCCUGCUGUCUAGAAAAACAACUUGUACUGACCCAUGCUUUGCUACUAUUCGAGAAACAUUUCUUUAAAAACAAAAACAUAAGUUUGGAAUAAUUAAUUCGACAUAAAUGGCAAUGCUAGUGCUUCACAGCAAAGAUUCAGCUUUAUGGUUAUUCUAUGAGACCAUUUGCCAGAUUGGGUCAGUGUUGGCUUUGCAGCUGCAACAGGAGCGUCAAUUUCUUACAAUACAAUCUAUUCAUGGUAUUCAUAUUCAAAUAUAAUGAUUCCAAAUCCAAAAUCUAGACACACUGAUUAUAAAAUAAUUCGAUUUUUUGACCAUAAAGGUACAUCUAAAUGAUAUCGUUUGAUGCCCAAACAAAAUAUCAAACACAAGCUCGGAUUCUGAACGCCUGAAGAACUCGGUCAAUUCCAACUCCAAAUUUUCUAAUUUCUCAAAACGUUUCUUUUAUUCAAACUUAAAUAUCUAAUUAAAUUUUAAUACAAAAAGAUAAAAUAAAUAUACAAUACUAACUCUAAAGUUUAGAUUUUUAACUGGAGAAAAGUGUUCAAAUAUUCUAGGAAGUUACAUGAGUACAUAAAAUAAUAUAAAUUAAUUUAUAAUUAUCUGAAUAAAUUCUUCAAAUUAGACCGUCUCCUAACAUUUUCACUACAAAACCCCCCUACUUGAACCAUGAUGCUCUUUUAACUUAUACUCCCUAGAAAGUAGUUUGAACACGACAAAGAGAAAAUUAAAAAAUUAAAGUAGUUUGAAAAUUCAUUUAAUGGACAAUUCAAUAAGCUAUAUAAAGUUAAAGUAAAUAAUUAUCAGGAAAAAUAAUUUCCUCCACAAAGUUAAAAUUAUUAUUAUAAAAGUAAAGUUUUCCAUUACAUGGGCCUAUUGACGUAUGGAAUGGAAUGGUUAAUAAGUUUGAAAGACUUCGAUAGCUGGAAGAUGAAUUUGCAUCAAUUUCAAAAAAUGAAUUCAAGCAUGGUUUCCAGCCAUCUCCGGGCAGGAAGCACAACUAUCUCCUCUAUUCUCAUUAGAUCUCUGAUAUUUCUAAGUACCAUUCAAUUCGCAGCAACUCUACAUUUUAACUUUACCAACUUCAACCGUACCAAUGAUGAUCAAAUAAAAUACGAGAGAGAUGCCUUUACGGCCAACGAUGUCAUCCACCUCACAAAUGCCGUGGUUGGUCAAUCAGCUCAGUCAAGUAUCGGACGAGUUACUUAUAGACAGCCUUUGCAUCUAUGGGAUAAGGCCUCAAGAAACCUUACUGACUUCACUACCCGUUUCACUUUUGUGAUUGAUUCCAGAAAUGAUACAUCGUAUGGCGAUGGGAUGGCGUUCUUUCUAGUUCCAAAUGGUACCGGGGUCCCGGCACUUGCAACAUCUGGUGGAACAUUUGGACUUACAAAUGAUAGUCAGCCUACCAACACCACUGCCAAUAAAUUUGUUGCUGUUGAAUUUGACGUGUAUGGGAACGACUGGGACCCUGGCGAGUCGCUGGACCCUGAUCUCACCAUUCCUCCCGGUGAGAAACCUGAGCAUGUAGGUGUUGAUAUCAACUCUGUGGAAUCCGAGGAAACUGAGCUUUGGAAAUAUGGGAGUUCUAGUGUUAUAAAUGGGUGGACAAACGAAGCUCAGAUAAGUUAUGCUUCUAGUUCAAAAAAUCUUAGUGUUUCAUUCCGUACACUAAAUUACAAAGAUUCGCCUCAAAGUUUCUACUUUGUGGUUGACCUAAGGGACCAUUUGCCAGAUUGGGUCAGUGUUGGCUUUUCAGCUUCAACAGGAGCCGCAAUUUCUUACAAUACAAUCAAUUCAUGGGAAUUCAGUUCUACUCUGGAGUCCCAUGCAGAGGCUCCGAGUCCAAGUCAUCCGUUACCACCGGUUCCGCCUCCAAGUCAAACCGGUCCAGUACCACAGGUUCCAAAACAUAUUAAAACAAAUAAUAAGAGGAUGGGUCUUGUGAUUGGAUUGGCGGUGGGGGUGUUUCUUCUUGUUUGUUCUGGGGCCAUAUACCGUAUUUUGAAGAAGAAGAAAGAGAAACAGGAAUAUGAAAAUAAUAUUUGUUUUGAGGAUGAUUUCAUGGAUGAUGAAUUUGAGAAAGGAACAGGACCUAAAAAGUUCUCUUAUAGUGCUCUUGCUAUGGCAACAAGUAGCUUUGCACCACAUGGAAAACUUGGAGAAGGUGGAUUUGGGGAAGUUUACAAAGGCUUCUUGAGUGAACUGAAUUUGGAUGUGGCUGUCAAAAGAGUAUCAAGAAAUUCUAGACAAGGAAUAAAGGAGUAUGCAUCCGAAGUGAGGAUCAUUAGUCGUCUCAGACAUAAAAAUUUGGUGCAGCUCAUUGGUUGGUGCCAUGAACGGAAUAAUCUUUUACUUGUGUAUGAGUAUAUGCAAAAUGGUAGCCUGGAUUCCCAUCUUUUCAAGGGGAAGAGCUUGCUGUCUUGGAGUACAAGGUAUAAAAUUGCUCAAGGCCUGGCGUCAGUAUUGCUUUAUCUACAUGAAGAAUGGGAGCAAUGUGUGGUGCAUAGAGACAUUAAAUCAAGCAAUGUCAUGUUAGAUUCGAGUUUUAACACUAAGCUAGGUGAUUUCGGACUGGCCAGAUUUGUUGAUCAUGAAAGGGGUGCACAAACAACUAUGGUGGCCGGGACACGAGGCUACAUGGCCCCUGAAUGUUUUUUCACAGGCCAAGCUAGCAGGAUGUCGGAUGUUUUCAGCUUCGGAGUUGUAGCACUGGAAAUAGCCUGUGGUCGAAAACCUAUUGACAUCAAGCUAGAAGAAAGUCGGAUAGAAUUAGUAAAGUGGGUUUGGGAGCUUCAUGGAAGGGAACAAAUUCUUGAAGCAGCAGACCCAAAACUCUCGGGGGAUUAUGACGAGAGUCAAAUGAAACGGUUGAUGAUGGUCGGGCUCUGGUGUGCACAUCCAGAUUGGCCAAUUAGGCCUUCCAUUAAGGAGGCCAUUCAAAUUCUUAAUUUUGAUGCUCCAUUGCCUGUUCUGCCGCCCCAGAUGCCUGUGGCAACCUAUUCCAUACCAUCAAACUUGUGUUCAGAAAACAGGGCCACAACCCAGAGAAGCCAAACUCAUUCUUCAGGCUCUAGUAACGGAACUGAUUCAUCAGUGUCUGCAACUGCAGCACGUCUAAA